UCCUUUUUCUCCUACCAGCUUGCCUCUUGCUAUUGGCAUGUCUUGCAGGGAGCAGAAGGCCCCACACUGGGCAGUAACACUUUUAUUGUGCUACAUUUCUCCUUAUGGACUACUUUAGCAGCAAACCACAAGUUUUGCAGGCAGAAUGUCUUGGAAGCUGUUUGUUGUGCUCCAUAUGGUACCUUGGUCCACGUCAUACCCAAGAGACUGUGAUCUUGCCAAGAGCAGGGACCAUGCCUGCAUUGUUUACUACUGGAUCCCAUUGCCUAGCACAAUGCCUUUUCCAUGAGUGUUUCAUAGACAAGCCCCACAGAAUUUCUUUCUCUCAGGAGGGAAAACAGGAAUGACCAUAUCCUAUAAAUGAAGAAAGAAAGGGAUGACUUGUCCGAGUCCAAAUGACAAAAGUAAGAAUUAUGUCUCUUUUUCAUCGUGGAUCUCCAGCCUCUGACACAGUGCCAGGCUCACAAUCGAUCUUCAGUAAAUAUUUGUUCCAUGAGAAAGAAUACGUGAAUGUAUCAAAGACAUUGUUGAUACUAAAGAACCUCAAAUGGGACUGUCUGGAUGUGUCUGAUGAGGUGCUGGGGCCUUACCCUCAUCAAGCAUCUCUUUGCAACUUUUGAUCUACUUGGGGAGAGGAGGUACAGUAGGCAGAAUUUGAAGAUGACCUCCAAUGACCCUUGCCUUUAUAUAAUCUCCUCUCCUUGAGAGUGGGUGAAACCUUUAUGAGAUGUUACUUUAUGAUUGAGUUGUGUUAUAUGAUACAGUUGACUUCAAGAAAAGAAAAUUAUCCUCGGUGGACCCAGCCUAUUCACUUGGGCCCUUGAAAGGGACUGGGCUCUCCCUGAAGAAAUUAGAAGUAUAAGAGGGAUUCGAUGCAAGGGAGAUUCCCUGUUGAUGGCUUUGAAGAUAAAGGAGGCCACAUGGCAAGGAAUAUGGGUGGCUUCUAGGAGCUGAGAGUGGCUCCUGACUAACAGCCAGCAAGGAAAUGGAGACCUCAGUCCUACAACCACAAAGAACUGAAUUGGCCAACAACCGUAAUGAGUUUACAAGUGGAUCCUUCCCUAGAGCAUCCAGAUGAGAACUCAAGCUGGCUGAUACCUUGAUUUCCACUAUAGAAGACCCUGAGCAGAGAUCCCAGUCGAGAUGCACUCAGAUUUCUGAUCUGCAGAAACUAUAAUAAA